rnacentral:rRNA from 1 species
UAGCCGUAUAUUAAAGUUGUUGCAGUUGAAAAGCUCGUAGUUGAACUUCUGACUAUUGCGUAAGCCGGAUUCGUUCGCUCUCGUGAUAGUCAUCCGCUUGGGAACUCCGUUCGAACUUAACUGUUUGGCGGAAGGAACAGGCAUUUUACUUUGAAAAAAUUAGAGUGUUCAAGGCAGGCUAUAGCCCUGAAUACACAAGCAUGGAAUAAUGAAAUAGGACUGGUUCCAUUUUAUUGGUUAUUGGACUAGUAAUGAUUAAUAGGGACAGUUGGAGGCAUUAGUAUUUAAUUGUCAGAGGUGAAAUUCUUGGAUUUAUUAAAGACUAACUUAUGCGAAAGCAUUUGCCAAGGAUGUUUUCAUUAAUCAAGAACGAAAGUUAGGGGAUCAAAGACGAUCAGAUACCGUCCUAGUCUUAACUAUAAACUAUGCCGACUAGGGAUUGGCCGGGUAUUUAAAACCCGGUCAGCACCUUAUGAGAAAUCAAAGUCUAUGGGUUCUGGGGGGAGUAUGGUCGCAAGGCUGAAACUUAAAGGAAUUGACGGAAGGGCAC